AUUAGUGUUAGGAUGACUGUGCAUAUAGACACUUAUCAUAAAUGCUCUUUCCAGACAUUUAUGCUGCAGAUUUACAUGUUGGGGUGUAUUACUGCUUUGUAAUUGUGGAGUAAUUACAGUAAAAGAGGAAACAGCUGGCACAAUAAAGACAUAAUCUCUUGGUACAGGAUACUUUGAUUUUGUCUGGCAUAGUGAUUACAGUGGAAUAUUGGAACUGUGAUUGCAGAGCGGACAAACCAUGCCCUUGUGAAAGUUUUCAAGUGUUCCGUGUAUGCUACCAGGAAACACAAAGAGAUACAUUUUUUUCAAUAAAAAGACUAACUCUGGAAGCUCUCCACUGGAUUUGAUCAACUCUUACUGUACUAAUGAAGCUUCUUACAGAUGUCUCUCCUUUCAGAUGUUACCACUGCAUUAAAUGUGCAACUCUGCAGAAAAAGGGGGCUGAUUUUGCAUUAGCUGUGGUGUGCACCAACAACCACAUAUCAGAUAUCAGUGAACACAUGAGGGCCCUGUGCCUCUCUCUCUCUCUCCUCCCUCUCGAAAUCAUUUAAAGGUUUCCUCUCCAUGCAGUGUCACUGUAGUAAACACCAUGCCUCAUGCAUAGAAGUCACUACAGUGUACAGCUAUUUUAAAAGCUGUUUUCUUGUACAUGCAUAAGUUUUGAUGGCAUAGUUGCACAUCAGCCACUUCAGUGGACGCUAUUGCAUUAUCUCAUACACUGCCACCCAUUGCAAAGCCUUUGCAAGUGAAAAUAAAAAUGAAAGUGAUAGCAAGAUGGCCGACAGACAGUCAGCAACACCAUGUUGCUCAUUUAUUUCUGUUCAAAGCUUCUAUAAAAACAGACCCUUGCAGGGCAGAAACAUAUGGUGACAUCAAGUAAUAUCUAAGGGGUCAUGCAAUUGCUAAAUUUUCCAAGUAUUGAUUUUAUUUUGGGAAGAAAUUAUGAUUAAUCACAUGUCCACUAAACUGGCUAUAUUUCAACUACAAUCCAUAGGCUAUGAUAAGUAUAUUACUGCUGUUGUACUUGAAAAUACUUAACUUUUUUGGCUGUAAAUCAACAUGUUUAUGGUUUUAGAAUGUAACUUAGAAGUUUUUGUGUAUCUUGUUUUGUAGCGCUUAGGAGCAGAGCAUAAUAGACAGGCCAACAAGAUAGUGGAGGAAUUACCACAGUCAAGUAAGGAGGAGGAUGCUAGUAGCAGUGAGGAGGAAUGGCUGCCAGAACAGGAAGCACUAGCAAAUGCUAGCAGUUGUGACAGUGGAGCUGAGGGGGCUGAGCCUGAAAAGGAUGCUGAGGGAGAUGAGGAUGCACGUCACACAGUGACUAGAUGAUGGUGCCACCCCACCUCCGGUGAAGCGCAGACCUGUGUCCAAGGCACCCACUGGCCCCAGCUCACCGAAGCAAAAAAUGCUAACAGAUGCCAUGAUGCUGCGUGCACAUGAACAGUCAAGUACAUCUGCAUGCAGUGUCUUGUGGCUUUGUGCCCUGGGUGCUUUGCCAAUGAUCACCGAAAAUAAUCUCUAAGCAAGGAGCAACUAGCACGUUUUAACAAGUAAUCUAUGAUGCAUGACACCUCUAGUCAAGAUACUGUGAGGAUCUAUAUUUAGUUCAGAGUCUUGUUAUUAGUGUCAUACUAUCAACACUUCAGAGACUGUGACAGGUCCAUUUUUAUGCCAGUGGUCUGUUUUGACCUGGCUAAUAAAACAGAUUAUAGUUCUGAUUUUGAUGUGCAGGCAAAGUUUAGAGCAGGACUCCUUGCAGUAAAGCUAACCACUAUAUUAUUUUAUAGCUCACAUCACAUUUCACAUUUCAACACACUAUUAUAUAAGUUUAUUCAUUUAUUUGUUAAAUAAAUAGUUUUACAAAAACUCAUGCUGUACACCUGAGUGGACAUGUAAUUAUAUCUUUAUAAAACAUGAAUUGAAAAAAAUAAUCAUUUCAAACCUUGUUUUUCAUGCCUAACGGUUAAGAAAAAAAUCUCCACCCACAACCCAUCUUCUAUUAAUCAGAACGAUCUUUUUAUGACCUGUCUCGUCUAAUCACAGGACCUCACAACAAAUUAAAGCAUGUUUUUUACAAUGUAAACUGUUUCAAGAUUUCAUUGUCCUUUAUUGGUCAACAACAUCUAAAACUAGAAUAAGAAUUGAAGAUAUAAUACACAAGUAAGACUAAAACUAAGAAUUGUUUGAACUUGUCAAAUUCGUUAGAUAGUAGACAAGAGGGGUUUUCCUCUUGAUCCGUCUCCCGAGACAGGGACACGGUUGAAUAGAAUUAUGUUUUAUUUCUUCAUAUUCUGUGUGUGUGUCGCAGACAACAGCAGCAGGGCCGGGCCAGGAGGACUACUGUGAGUAUACACUUUAUUAACAUUUCAGUGGACCUUUUUGUUCAAUAAAUGGGCCAUUGUCCAACAGAUCUCCCAACCCGCACAAGGUGGACAAGUGACUGUAUAGGGCGGUCUACACCAAGAUCAAUAACUAUGCUAUAACAGUGACAAUGUAAAAAGUGUGUAACUCAGCAUGUCAGCAGCUUAGGAAAAUGAGUAUUGAUGAAUAACAUAUUGAUGGCGUUAACACUGCAUUUAUGAAGCAUGUAUGGCCUAAGAAAUUGGCAAUAAUAUAUGGCAACAAUCACAGUACUGUAUCAAAAUCACAGGAUCCUAAAGGAUAUCUAAAGGUAUUCUUUUCUAUAGGUUUACUAACUACUAAAAUCAUGCAUACUGUGCUGAAUACAAUACUGUGCUCUAAUCUGUAUUUACAAUGCAGCCUGACUCUGCACUGUACAGUAUUAUGUCACUAUGGCAACAAGUGUACACUGCCAUUAGCACAUAUUAGGUAGUUUAGCCUCAUCGAUGAUUUGAACAAAAUCAACAGCUGCUAAUAGCUAUAGUCCUCAUAGCCUUAACUGGUGUGUUGUCAUGGGUUAAUUGUCAAGAAUUAAGAAAUAACAGCUUAGGAUUUUACUGUUAUAUUCAGGGUUCAAACACUUUGUUGCCACCUAGUGUCUAUAGGUAUCAAGUGCAGCGCCCCCCCCCCCGAACCAUUGCGAAGUCACCGUGGUAACGCAGCAGCAAACACGUUAUAUAAAAAGAUAGACAUUUUGUAUAAACAAGGACUGUGGAUUUUGUUCACCAUCACUUAUGUGAGGGGAUUUUCCUUCACAGUUAAUGGCCUAAAACAAACAAUUCCCGUUUCUGUGGAAAUCAGGGUUGAGAUGCCCUUCAUGACUGUACCAAAGUUUCCAGAGCCUAGUUCUCCAUCCUCCAGGUACAGCUGGUCGCGAUUCACUGUGGAGCUCCUCAGUUCAUCUGGGUCUGCAUAUGGACUCUCAUAUACCUCUGUAUCCAUUGGCAUGGCUUCUGAUGGAGAAAUUACCAUGCCACAUUAAAGGAAUAGCGAUGGCUGACACAUCAGGUCUAGGACAGGGGUCAGUUAACACUCGCAGCAGGCCGUCUGGUUUGUAGGAGUAGUGCUCCACCAGCUGUGAUAAAGAGAGAAGUUCACAUAUGAGACAUCAGGAUGGGUGUCAAACUUCUUGCCAUCUGGGAUAGAGAGCUUGCCAGUCCUGUCCCUGUCAAUGCGAUAAUGCAUGACUUGUCCUUCAUGAAGUAGACACAGAGCAUAAGAUCCAUUAACAUCUCUCUGUCGGAUCCUGU